rnacentral:lncRNA from 10 species
CUCUCACUUCCAAUUCUUUGGGCUGGUUUGAUGCAACUGCCAAAAGCUCUUAUGGCAUCUCCUUACCUGAGCCUAGCACCUCUUUUUGGGGUCAGAGUUGGCAAAUGCUCCCAGGAAAAAAAAAAAUGGCCAGUGACCCUUGGAUUACCUUGAAAGGACUUCUUUCUUAUUUGAAAUUUAUUUCAUCUAAUUAUUGUUGCUUUUGCGUCUCUCCAGUGCCUUUAGAAACAUGAUCAUUCCAAUUUAGCUUUUCAAAUUGCAGCAGAAAUGCUGCCUUUCCUGAUCUCCUAUAUUGUACUCAAAUUUUUUGAUUUUUAAUUACAACUCUCUUGGGUUUCGUGUGUUGUUUGAACAUGAGAAACCACUUGAUGAAGAUGACUGUACAUUACACAGAGAACUGGAGUUUCAUUGAGUACAUUUCAUGUAGGCAUGAGCAAGAAGAGUACGGAUAUCAGGAAGCUAAAGGGGUGGACUAUAGUUGACACAGUUGAUUGUCUUCUCAGGAUUUAUCCCUUGCUUCUUUCCUCUUAAGAGGAAAGUUCAGGCAUCUACCUUCCCAUGUGGUAUUCGCUUUCAUAUGACUUAUGGGAAAGCUAAUUCUCUACUUAGCUUUAUGGAGUGGAUCUAAUUGGUAUAAGUAUAAUCUCAUCUCUAUUGCUAAUGAUUUAGUUAAGGAAAGCAUAGGUAUUCCCAUGGUUUGGGAUGGAUGGAUUUUUGACACUACCUUUGCAUGUGGGAGAUUCUCACCUGGGAAAGGUGGAAAACAACAAAGUUAUGAGGUUUUAUAAUUUAGUUUCUAAAGCAGCAUCAGAAGCUGAAUAAUGUUUAGCUUAAGCAGCUCAGUGAUCUCAAUGUUGUUCCAACAUGUGGCAUCAUAUGCCCCAAGUAGCCUCUUAAGGCAAAGUGUAUCUGUUUAUGUGUGAUCCAGUCCCUGAUCAUUCGCAUGAAAGCGAAUAAGGCCUCAUUGUAAUGCAAGGUAUUAGAUCCCUUUGCAACUCAUAGUGCCAUAAAUCAGAGCCCUGUGGUUGACUUGGCCCUUCAGUUUCAUCUGCAAUAACAAUUGAAGCUCUGUCUUCAGAACUGAACUGGAUACAUAGCUAAAGUCAACCCAGGGAGUGACUGCUUUUCUCUGGCAUUAUAUCUUCAUUUCCCCCAUAAUUCAUUUGAACAGGAAUUUCUGUGGCUUAAGCCAAGAAAUAGCAGCCCAUUCACAUUUGUAAAUGCUCCUGCAUAGCUAUAAUUAUAUCUUUAAUAAUUGGGCCCUAGCAAUGUUUUAGUUUUAUGCCCAUCAGUAUUUCAUGCUUAAAUGAAUGAAAAGUUUCAUAUUUUCAUUUCUUCCUUCAACAAACAUUGACUGGUCAUUUGCUAUUUCAGGCACUGUGUUGGGAGUAAGCAAUGUGGAGUCAUCUCUUCCCCCAGAGAAACGCUGACAAGUAUUAGCUCACAGACAUGUGUGCACAAAGAUGGAUGCUCACAGUUGUCCGUUGGAGCACUGUUUGAAGCAGCAAAAGGAACCAAUUCAACUUUCCCUGAGUAGGAAAAUGGCUAAAUAAAUGGUAACUUAUUCACAGAAGGGAAUAUAAUACAGCUGUUAAAAUCAUGAAAAAAGGUACAUAUUAUACCAUGAAUAAAUCUCAAAAACAUCAGUUCUAAAAAAAAGAAAGUAGCUAAAGUAUCCACCCAGCCUGAUACCAUUUACAUAGACCUUAAAGAUCCAAUACAUGCAAUAGUAUAUCUUGAUCAGGAAUUUGUAUGUGUGAAAUAAAAUUACAAAAACAUGCUGUAAGAUGGGCAUUUCCUCUGAAAAGGAAAGCAUGAGGGAAGUAUGGGGGUGAGGCUUUAUCUGGUCGGUAACAUUACUUUUUUUAAAGAAGAAAGAUGAAGCCAAAUAGACAAACUAUCAAUUUUUGCUUAAUUUUGGUGGUGGGUACUUAAGUGUCAGUUAUAUAUUUUUUUCUGCAUGAAAUAUUUUAACAUGAAAACAACAUUUAAAUAAAAAACACAGAGGCAUUAUCUGUGAGUAUAAUAGCUCACAUUUUAGUGAGGAAGAGAAACAAGCAAACUAAGAGUGGUUUGAUAAAUGCUGAUAACACAAAAGACAGGGCAGCUGCUGGCAGCUCCGCCUGGGGGCUUGGGAGGACCUGUUGGAAGAGGUAAUGGUUGACUGAAAUGUUGAAAAGCCGCAUGGAGUUAGGAGGACAGGUUGGAGAGGAACAUCCCAGGAAGAGAACAGAGCCAUUGUUGAUAUCUCCAUAAUGGUAGAAUAAUAACACACAUUACUAAAAAUUUAUCUUGCUAACCAAGGCCAAGACUCCCCUGGGUUGGAGAUAAGAUAAGCUCCCCUUUCAGCAGCAUCAGAGGCUGCUCAGGGCCUGUGACAUACCCUUGGAGAAGAAUCCUCCAUAUGCAAAGUGGUCUAAUGGUUAACUUCUAAAAGAAAAUAGCUGAAUCUGAUGGCACUAUGGGCCAACUACCACUUCUAAGAACUUUACCUGUUUUGACUCACUUAAACAGCCCCCUGAGGAAGGUACUAUUAUAGUCAUCCAAUUUACAGAUGGGGAAACUGAGGCACAGAGAAGUGAAAUAAUUUGCUCCCAGAUACUCAGCUAUAAGGGGCAGAGCCAAGAUUUAAACCCAGACAGUCUGGCUUUACAGUCUCAUGCAAGGUCCCCAGAAGGUCUCUCUCCUGGGUCCUGAGAUAUUACAUUGCCUGGGCUCUCAAUACAGCAUUGAGCUUAGCUGCCUUGGUUCCAGGCCCUCGCCUUCUGGAUUCAACCCAGCUACAAAAACCCUCAGCCCUGACUGUUCAUUCAAUGCCUGGCUCCCAAUUUCCAGCAAGCCCUUUCUGCCUUGACUCCAUCUGCCCCGGCUCUUGAGCUGCUCAUGCCUGAACCCCAUCCCAUGCCUGCCCCACGCCCUCUCCUGCCUCCUGUCUUACAGCUUGCCAUCCUGCCCACCUGAGGCUCUGCCUACUGACAUGCUAUUCCCAGGACAAGACCAGCUUCCAGGACAAGCACUGCACUCAGAAGCCAUGUCAUUCAAAUCAGGGGCAGGCUUGUUAGGGUCAAAAAUGGUCCAAAUUCUGGGGAUGUCAUUUGAAAAAAGACUGUUUUCAGGAAACAAUCUUCCUAUCUGUGGUGAUUUUAAAAAUAUAGUUCUCAAAUUGUGUGUAGGAAAGGAAAGUAGCAAUAUGGGUGCAGGAAGAGCAUGACUGUGUGGAUAAAAAGAUGAUGUAUGCACAUGAACAUGCAGAACUGAGAACUCAGGUUAAGUUACAGCAAGAUAUGGCAGGUACUGUGGUUUGAAUGUGUUCCCCAAAGUUCCUGUGUUGGAAACUAAAUCUUCAAUGCAACAGCAGGACCUUCAAGAGGUGAUUGGGUCAUGAGAGUUCUGCACUCGUGAAUGGAUUAAUGUCAACAUCAUCAAGAAGCCCCUUGCCAGAAGCAAGCCUCAUGACUUAGGACUUUCCAGCCUCCAGAAUUCUGGGCAUGGUGGCUCACACCUGUAAUCCCAGCACUUCGGGAGGCCCAGGUGGGCGGAUCACCUGAGGUCAGGAGUUUGAAACCAGCCUGAGCAACAUGGUGAAACCCCAUCUCUACUACAAAUACAAAAAUUAGCUGGGUGUGGUGGCUUGCAUCUGUAAUUCCAGCUACUAGGGAGGCAGAGGAAGAAGAACUCCUUGAACCUGGGAGGUGGAGGUUGUGGUGAGCCAAAAUCACAUCACUGCACUUCAGCCUGGGCAAAAAAGCAAGACUCUAUCUCAAAUAUAUAUAUAUUUUUUUUUCAAUAAAAAGCUAGAAAAAUUGGAGAGGUAUAUCAGGCUGUUCUUGCAUUGCUAUGAAUAAAGAAAAGAUGUUUAAUUGGCUCAUGGUUCUGCAGGCUGCAGAGGAAGAUACACAGGUAUCUGCUUCUGGGGAGGCCUCAGGAAGCUUCCAGUCAUGGUAGAAGGUAAAGAGGGAGCAGAUGUCUCACACGGUGGGAGCAGGAGCAGGGGGCGGGGAGGUGCCACACGCACUUUUAAACGACCGGAUCUUGAGAGAACUCACUCACCGUCACGAGAAUAGCACCAAAGGAAUGGUGCUAAACCACGCAUGAGAUAUCCUCUCCCGUGACUCAGGCCCCACCUCCAACAAUGAGGAUCACAUUUCAACAUGAGAUUUGGGCGGGGACACAGAUCCAAACCACCCAAACAGAGGCAAUAAAGACUACCUAGUCUAACUGUCUUGACGCUGCCUGAACCCCCUUGGUGGAAUGACAAUUACAUAAAAGCCUGAACUCAUUCAUUCUCCCACUCUCUUAAACUUAUUAUUCUUUCAAAGUUUAGUUUAUUUGUUUGUUUGUUUGUUUGAGUAAACUAUCAUGGUGGAGAAAAGAAAGCUUAAUUUCCUUGGGAACACUGUCUUGGAAUGGGAAAUCUUUUUGUUAUAUGGCAUUGUAAAGCUUAAAUCUUUCACAUGUAAAAAUUAUGUAGCCCUCGUUUUUCAUUUUCAGGGGAAGCAUAAAGACUUCAUGAUCCAUUUAGACUUAAUUUAACCUGACAUAAAUAAAUGCUGAA